GAUGAACGCUAGCUACAGGCUUAACACAUGCAAGUCGAGGGGAAACGAUGAGAGAGCUUGCUCUCUUAGUCGUCGACCGGCGCACGGGUGAGUAACGCGUAUCCAACCUGCCUCUGACCAAGGGAUAACCCGUCGAAAGUCGGACUAAUACCUUAUGCAGUCGUCGGAAGUCAUCUGAUGACGACGAAAGAUUUCAUCGGUGAGAGAUGGGGAUGCGUCUAAUUAGCUUGUUGGCGGGGUAACGGCCCACCAAGGCGACGAUCAGUAGGGGUUCUGAGAGGAAGGUCCCCCACAUUGGAACUGAGACACGGUCCAAACUCCUACGGGAGGCAGCAGUGAGGAAUAUUGGUCAAUGGGCGUAAGCCUGAACCAGCCAAGUAGCGUGCAGGAUGACGGCCCUAUGGGUUGUAAACUGCUUUUAGGCGGGGAUAAAGUGAGGGACGUGUCCUUCAUUGCAGGUACCGCAUGAAUAAGGACCGGCUAAUUCCAUG
rnacentral:rRNA from 1 species